AGGCCCUGGUCAGUGAGCUGUCAGAGCACUUGAGGGACCCCCUGACCUCCCUGAGCCACACUGAGCUGGAAGCCGCAGAGGUCAUCCUGGAGCAUGCCCACCGCGGGGAGCAGACAACCUCCCAGGUAAGCUGGGAGCAAGACCUGAAGCUGUUUCUUCAGGAGCCUGGUGUAUUUUCCCCCACCCCACCUCAGCAGUUUCAGCCAGCAGGGACUGAUCAGGUCAAGAUAGAGUGGAAA
rnacentral:lncRNA from 1 species